AUUGAACGCUGGCGGCAGGCCUAACACAUGCAAGUCGAACGAGUGGCGGACGGGUGAGUAAUGUCUGGGAAACUGCCUGAUGGAGGGGGAUAACUACUGGAAACGGUAGCUAAUACCGCAUACCAUCGGAUGUGCCCAGAUGGGAUUGGAUUGUUGGUGGGGUAAAGGCUCACCAAGGCGACGAUCCCUAGCUGGUCUGAGAGGAGGACCAGCCAAACUGGAACUGAGACACGGUCCAGACUCCUACGGGAGGCAGCAGUGGGGAAUAUUGCACAAGGGGCGCAAGCCUGAUGCAGCCAUGCCGCGUGUAUGAAGAAGGGCUUCGGGUUGUAAAGUACUUUCAGUGGGGAGGCGUUAUCCGAAGAAGAAGCACCGGCUAACUCCGUGCCAGCAGCCGCGGUAAUUC
rnacentral:rRNA from 1 species